rnacentral:rRNA from 1 species
UACGUAGGGGGCAAGCGUUGUCCGGAUUUAUUGGGCGUAAAGAGCGUGUAGGCGGCCAGGUAGGUCUGCUGUGAAAACUCGAGGCUCAACCCCGAGACGUCGGCGGAAACCAUCUGGCUAGAGUCCGGAAGAGGAGAGUGGAAUUCCUGGUGUAGCGGUGAAAUGCGCAGAUAUCAGGAAGAACACCCGUGGCGAAGGCGGCUCUCUGGGACGGUACUGACGCUGAGACGCGAAAGCGUGGGGAGCGAACAGG